rnacentral:rRNA from 1 species
AGUCACUGACAUUAGAUACCCCCGUAGUCCAGGGUGUAAACGCUGCAGACUUGGUGUUGGAAAUCCUUCGAGGGUAUUCAGUGCCGGAGAGAAGUUGUUAAGUCUGCUACUUGGGGAGUACGUCCGCAAGGAUGAAACUUAAAGGAAUUGGCGGGGGUUAGCACCGCAACGGGAGGAGCGUGCGGUUUAAUUGGAUUCAACACCGGAAAACUCACCAGGGGAGACUGUUACAUGAAACCCAGACUAAUGAUCUUGGUUGAUUUUCAG